rnacentral:rRNA from 1 species
CUGCUUCUACUUUCUGUAUGGAACUGGGAGCGUCUGCCUGUUGGACGCCCGAAGAGCGUCAGGUUUAAUCCUUGGGAUGAAGAUGAACAUGACGAAUUACGGCGCCCCACUUGGGCUUACAAGUGGGAUGUGGUUUCCGAGAUGACGAACUAUGUCAAUCUCAUGUACCAAAAGUACAUUGCCGAGUUGGACACGAUUACGCAUGAGCAGGUAACGAGGACAUUAUUUCAGUUAUUUCUCAUGUUUGCCUGA